rnacentral:snRNA from 1 species
UAGUGAGUACACUAGUACAUUGAAACUGGAGUGCUAGAAGAUUCGCAUGUCUCUUGUACAAGGAUGAGAUGCAAAAUUGUGAAGUGUUCAUAUCUUUG